GAUGAAGAACGUAGCAAAAUGCGAUAAGUAGUGUGAAUUGCAGAAUUCAGUGAAUCAUCGAAUCUUUGAACGCACAUUGCGCCCCUUGGUAUCCCGAGGGGCAUGCCUGUUCGAGCGUCAUUUCACCACUCAAGCCUGGCUUGGUGUUGGGCGACGUCCCCUUUGGGGACGCGCCUCGAAACGCUCGGCGGCGUGGCACCGGCUUUAAGCGUAGCAGAAUCUUUCGCUUUGGAAGUCGGGGCCCCGUCUGCCGGAAGACCUACUCGCAAGGUUGACCUCGGAUCAGGCAGGGAUACCCGCUGAACUUAAGCAUAUCAAUAAGCGGAGGA
rnacentral:misc_RNA from 1 species